UUUUUAAAUAGGUACAAGAAUUGUUGGAGUGAUCAAAUCAGCGCUAACCUUACUCCUUGCAGGAUAUUUGUUAAAGAAGACUACAAAACUAAUAGUAGGAGCCGCAGAUGAGUCGUCUUGACUGGAAAAACAGAAAAAGAGGCAUUUUCGUGGGUGGUGGUGUCAUUACACUGAAGGAAUUUAACUUUGAAGAAGCUGCAGAAGAUGAGGAACCCCCCUCCUCAAAAGAAAUGGUUCCACGACUUACUCCCUCCGUCCCAUCUCAUGUGAUAGAUUUCUUUUCGGCACGAGAAUUAAGAAAAUGAUAUGUAUUGAGUUAAAGUGGACACAGUAAAGUAUGAGAGAGGAAAAAGUAAGAGGGAUAAA